rnacentral:tRNA from 1 species
GAGGGUAUAGCUCAAGUAGUGGAGUGCAUGCUUAGCAUGCAGGAGGUCCUGGGUUCAAUCCCCAGUACCUACU